rnacentral:lncRNA from 1 species
UAGUCACAAGGUGAUGCAGCCAACUUCAGCAUUUCAACAAUGCCAUGAAGCAUGCUGGCUAAAUGCCCAAAUUUCCUUAAGGCAAUUCUUUUGAGGGUCAUCAACAAAUUUUAGGAUUUACAAAUUGCAACUCAGGAAUAUCAGGUUAAAUAAAAUAUUCACUCUUCAGACAUAAAAAUUUCUUAUUUUUCUACUUACCUUCUAGCUUCCUCAUCCCGUAGUUUUGCAUCAAACUCUUUGCUCGGAGGAUACUUGGGCAGGCUUGAAGGAUCACAAGGAAGUGGUUUUGUUGUAAAGAACUGUAAAAUAUAUACCAGAUAAGUCAAGGAUCAUCAACCAUGAAAUAACAAAAUGAACUAUAAACAAAACACAAGACUAGAUGUUCAUAAAUCAAUAUGAAAGUCCAGAAGUGCACAUUGCCACAAUUUUUUAAAAUGGAACAUGUGAUAAAAACUCUAUCGAAAAAAUUUCUUGUAAACUAUCAUCCAAGGCUGAGGCUAGGUCUACAUCUAUUUCCAAUAAGUCCACAGCUAAUUUGAAGUUGUAAAAUAUACUUUCAAUAAAUCAGUUAAUCAGAUUAUUUAUUUUCGCAUCUGAACCUCUCCAAAUUGGAAGAAAAUAGAAACAAGUGGGAGAAAAAUUAAUUAAGGGAGAGAACUCUUCCUUUUAUUUUCCUCUCAUCCAAACAAAACUAGGGCAAAUAAAUGCAGAAAUCUUCUCAUAUUUCCCCUUUUUUUCUUUCCUCCCUUUCAUUCCCAAACAGAAUGUUAGAGUGCAAGCAUAUAAUUACUUCCCUUUCUUCCAGUGCAAAUAGAAGAGAGACACAAAGGCACAGUUUUACUUGCAAAUAACGAAGAUCCAUGGAAUCAAAAGCCACUUCUGAGACUAGAUUAAUAAGGCUAUUUCAUGCAAUACUGAUAGAUUUGGCUUUUGUUUUGGCAUUGACUCAGUAAGCUAUUCUGGUGAUAUAUAUAAAUACAUAUAGAAUGCCUAUUGUGCAGAGACAGCAGAUGAAACAGCAAAGAGAGGUAAUGGAAAUUGAAGGGCUUUUCAGUCCCUCACUUUUAUUCAUUGGCAAGUGGCAACACUGUGGUUGUAGCCAUAGAGGGUUAUGAAAAUAGCUUCUGUGACCAUAAAUAUUACAUAAACUCACAUUUUAAGGUAAUUUAGGAAAAAACCAUAAAAAUUCAGGACUUUGAAAACGAGUAAGCGCCCAUCGGCAAUUAUUUCAUAGCAUAAGAUUGAGCUACCAGACACUAACUAAGCUGCUCCUCCCUGGAGGAUGCAGACACCAAUGAUGCCCCAUCAAAAAGUUGGCAUCAAGAUUAAAUUUCCAUUUGACUAUGUUGAUAAUUCCAUCCUAACAAUAGUAACUUCGGCAAAAGUAAGGCAAUCAACUGGUCAUCUUCCUGCAUGUAAAGCCAUGGCUGAGUUCCAACACCAUAACACAGCUACAACUGCCUAUAUAUCUGAGCCAAGGUGUACAGAAAAGCCAACUAUUCAGGAUAUCAAUGUAGAUCAAACCAAUGUCAGCAUUACCACAAAGAAUUCAUAAUUUUACAGUUCGAAAAAAAAAAAAAGGGAAGAUCUAAAGGUAAAAAAGAUUGAUAAUAUAUGCUUGAAGCUGAUGAAAAAUUUUUCAAGAAGUAAAAGUUGAAAACAACUCAAAGAAUAUUAAAAAAAUGGCACAGAUGAGCCAAAAGAAUGCUAAUAGCAAAAAACGCAUCCACUUCCAAGAAAACUACAUAUUUCUAUUAGCCUUCAACAAUGCAUGAAUAUCAAGAUCCUGAAGUCACACAUUUCAAAGGAUUGUCAAGAAAAUAUUGUUAUAUUGCCAAAUAUAUUUCAUACCUCACUCUUCAGUGCAGAAACUGCAGUUCCACGAUCUACAGGGUCAAUAGAAAGUAGGGUCUCCAUAAGUGCUAAAGCUGCUGCAGGGAACUCCUUAAACGUUUCUGCAACACAGCGUUUGUAAGGCUGUUGAGGCUUAAAGAUAGUUGCAUGAGGCAAUUUUGAUUUUCUCCAAUAAUCCUCAGAAGGUGAGCCACACAACUUGAAAAUUUUAUGCAGUUGCUCGACCUGCAAGGCACAGAGGAAUAACUUAAAAACUAUUUAUACGACCAAAGUUUCACUAAGAGAUGAUAAAAUUGGGACAAGAUAAACAUAGAGACACAGAAAGAAAACAUGCUUCAUAAGAUAACCAUCUAUUUCUACUUUUUUUAUCCCCGUUUUCUCUUCAGUCAAAGCAUAUCUAUCUCAAUUUCAUAUUGGGUUUGUUUGGGAAGUCCUAAGAAUAAAAAAAUAAAUUCAGUCCAAUUGAAUUUAACCAAUUCUCAUGAUUGGAAAAGAUUAAAAUUAACAGAAAUUGAAUGUUUCAGUGACAAAAAGAUAUGAAAUGGUGAUUUUGAAAGAAAUGAAUCCAUGCCAUAUGUGACAUGAUUUUACAAUAAUUUAAUUCAUUUAGUGAAGUCAUCUAUUAGAACCAAAAACAACCCCACUUGGACUCGAAUACAAGUGUCAGAAAUGGGUACAUAUCCUUGUGUCUAACUUGACAACUUUCUGAAUAGAAAAUAUAGGGAUAUAAAUCUAAAUUUUGACAAGGGUGCUUGAAUAUGUUAUGUUAUAUAAAAUAAAACAAAGUAAAAAAUAUAGAAUUACAUAAAAAUAAGUAAAGCCUAAAUAUGUUAUGUCAUCAAAUACAACCAAAGACAUCAUUUAAAAUGCAACCAAAUACCUAUUUUCUAUCUGCAAAAAAAAACAUAAUAUGUUAUCCAUGAUCUCCAUCUUGAGAGAAAAGAAUGUCCUAUUAACUAUAAUAUUAAUCUUUAGAGAUCUCUCUUAUUCAAGUGUCUGACUGUAUGAAUAUGUGUCAAACACACAUUCCAUGUAGUGUCCCAUUGUCAUGUGUCAACACAGGUAUGACAAGACAAAACAAAAAGUCAAGAGUAUCAAAGCUUAAGUUCUAUUUGUUACUUCGCGAAUAAGGGUAAAAUAGAAAAGUGCAUUUAUUUCAUUUGUCAUUAAUUCCAAACAACAUAAUCUGUUCAAAUAAAUUCUAUUAUUUUAAAAAUUCCAAACACAUGAAUUUCAUUAUAAAAAUUUGAAUUAAAUGCUUUUAAUAGAAUUAAAAUGAAUUCUUGCAUGAGAAGCAUUCCAAAAUCCAAAUAGUGUAAUGAUGAAAUUCUUGAAAAGGGCUCACCAAUGCCAAUCAAAUGAAAAUUAAAAUAAGGAAAACUGCAAAAGGCUAAAAAAAUUCCCCAAACAAUCUCCACUUAUGUUUCAUUCUUGAGUAGUUUAGAAGAAAUAAAACUACAAAGGGAUGAAAAAUUCCCUAGGCAAUCUCCUCUCCUGUUUUCAUUCUUGAGUAGUUCAAUUUGUUUAAGUAAAUCUUGACCAUAUCCUACACAUAGGGGUAGGACUCAUCGGUGAGAACUGAGAACUGAACCAUAUUAACUUGGUUAUUCGGUUCAGCUUUUCGUUAAAACAAUUUGGUUUGAAUUAAUAUUUUAAGAAGUUUUUGGUUUUUAGGUUUGAUUCUGUUAUAAAGGUCAAAAUAACUGAAUCAAACCAAGUUUUCCCCCUAUACUGUGCCAUUUUGCCCCUUAUACUGCGUCAUUUUACAGGCUAACCUUACCCACAUACUUCAACUUAUUUUUCUCAUUUUGGAGCCCUCAGCCAAUCAACUUCUACCUCCUCCUCUUCUUUUUCCUCUUCUUCAACUCUCCCAACAGACUGCCAUUAGAGCGGAUGUGGAUCUAGCAGUCGGCCUCUCCGACUCUCCUAAUCGAUUGCCAUCAAAGUGGUUGUGGAUGUAGUGACCGACCGAGUCCCAUCACGCAACCCACCGGCAGAUCAACUGCCUGCCUCCACGGGAUCGCCUGGUUUUCCAAGUCCUCUACCCUUCUAUGCCAUCAUCACAUGCUCCCAAGUUCUCUACCAUCACUGACCAACUGACUGCCAUCGAUUCCCCUCUCAAAUCACCUACAUGUUUUGUUGGGUGAUUUUGUGUUCUGUUGGUGAAUUGAGAAUUUGGGGGAAGGUUUGGCUAAGGAUUUGAGAGAGGGUGUUUGGUUUGUAUUUGUGGAGGGAGUGCUCUAUACUCAAUCAACCAAACCAAACCGAUUUUUUCUUGGUUCAGUUAAAUGCAGUUUUACUGCUAAUUCGGUUCAGUUAAAUGCAGUUUACUGCUAAUUCAGUUCAGUUCAAUUCAGUUGAUAAGUUAACCGAACCAAUUGAUUAUGCAGUGCACACCCUAUCCACAAAUGGGCAUGCCACCUCUAUUCACAAAAGCACUAAAAGGGAGACAACAAAGUAGGUCAUGCCAAUACUGCAAACUUUCCUGCCACGAUUAUUUUAUAAUUUCAGCUUCCUUGCAGAUUGGUGAAUACCCAGACAAUUGAAGUUUCCAGCUUAUUGCAAAUCUACAUUGGGUUAUUGAAAAUUUCCUUCCUGUAGUGCAAUAUGAAAAAAGACAACAAUAAAAGAUAGCAGAAUGUCUCAUAGGCACUGCACGACUUCCCUUUAACAUUUGAAAAGAAUGCAAAAAGUCACUGAAACUCUAUGCUUUAACUAUAUUGAAGCAUUUUGUUGAAGAAAGUUAAAAUUAAAAAAGAAAGAUAUAGCAAAAGUUAAUCAGAAUGAAUCAGAUCAUAUUUAGAAAAUGAAAGAAAUAAUAAUUAAUCAGAAACCAUUCUACAGAGUAGCAAAUAGUGAAAGCAAUACAAACAAACCCUCCAACACUUGGUGCAUAUCAAUAACCAAUAUCGAGUUGAACACCAGUAAUAUUACGCGCUAUUUGACAAUACCUCCAUUCUGUGUUCGAGAGUUUUGAGAGAAAGGGAAGAAUUGCUAAAGAGAAACAGAGAAAGAGGGAAGGGGAGUGGAACAUAUCACAGUACUAGCAUUGUUGGGUUUUCCAGUACUUAAGUAUAUCAUUGACUGGUACUCCAGGCAACAAAUAAUAUCUUCUUACAUCUAGCAAUGGUGGACAGCCAGACACAACAUCAUGCAGGUGGAGGCCACAGCACAGCAAAUCACAGCCAAGGCAAAGAAAAAAAAUGCUGGAAAAGCAAAAGAAAGGAAAGACAAAUGCUGAAGUUGCCAAUCAUGGAGGGGGGGAAGGGCACAGCACAACUAAAAAAAAAUAGGGUAAAGUACAUGCAAGAAGUCCCAAGAUAGAAACUAAACUAAAAAAAUGAUUAAAAAAAUUUUUUUUUAAAAAAAAAAAAAAGAGGAGAGAAAGAAGGAUAAAGUUAAAAGAUAGAAUUACAGAGAAAGCCCAGGUGGGCCAGGAGCAACACAUUCUAAUCUUCUCUUCAGCUCUUUUUUCCCCCUUUGGAGACAGCCACAGUGAUGGGAAGGAAAAAAGCCAUUUCCUUUAUGCUUGUUGUGGGAGAAAUUUGGUCAAGAAAUAAAAUAAAAUAAGAACAUAUAGGUAGAUCAGUAAAGCAUGCCUUGUGCCUGGUCUGAGGAGCACGCCCAAGGCAAAUCUCAGUGAAGUUGCUCGCCUUUUAGCUGUAGAACUGCUGAAGCUUGUGCUUAACAAAUAUGGGACUGAAGUUAUUCUAUGAAACAGCUGCAAGAUGUUGUCCAAGUUUGAUUGGGGUUUUGAGAAUGCAUAACAAAAUUUCAAAGGGAGGACAUGAAAUGAACUAAUUACUCUUAAUUAUCCUAAUCUUUUUUAAUAUGAGGCCAUUUGUGUCUCAUACAUAUAAAAGCUAGAUAACUCCUCUGAAAAGAAAUACAGCCACAGGAUAAUCAUGUUCAAUGCAUGCACCAAGGGAUUGAAACUGAGAAAGAAUUACUCUAGAACUCCCAUUAAAAAUUUUUUCACUGCCAAUGCUAUGGAAUCAUGCAAUUCCAUUCCCCCAGCAACAACAGAUCAUUAUCAGAAAUGGUUACAGAUAGAUGCUGAGCUAGUAAACAGUUUACAACUUCAAUAUUGAUUAUCUCCAACGCAUAAUAAUUUCCAUUAGACAAACAUCUUGAGAAAUAAUAAGCAAGGUAAAGGGAAAAAAACAAAGUUGGGUACAAGAAAAAGAAGACGGUUACCUCAGUUCUUCCAGGCAUAAUAGGCUUGCCAGCAUAUAGUUCAGCAAGUAUGCAACCUGUACUCCAUAAAUCAACUGCAGUUCCAUAAUAAGUGGCUCCAAGAAGAAGCUCUGGAGGUCGGUACCAAAGUGUUACAACACGACUUGUGAGUGGUUGAACAUGAGUUGGAUCAUAAAAACUUGCUAGACCAAAGUCCGCAAUUUUUAAGAUGCCAUUAUUAUCGAUUAAUAGGUUGGAACCUUUUAUGUCACGAUGUAGAACACCACGGCUGUGGCAGUGAUCAAGUCCCUGUAAAAGUUGUUGCAUGUAACAUUUCACCUACCAACAAAUACAUAAGUCAGACCAUCUAGCUGAAUACAAUGAAACAAGAAUAUGACAGACGUAAUUCCUGAUGAUAAAGCUUUUAUCAGAACCUGUGAUUCUGUAAACUUCAGACCAGGAUGUGAGGCAAGUCCAGCCAAAUCAUGCUCCAUGUACUCAAAUACGAGGUACAGACUGCAAGACAUUCUCGAUGUAACUAGACCCUCAAGUUUUAUCACAUUAGGAUGGUCAAGCCUACGCAAAAUGUGAAUUUCCCUGGCCAUAAAGCGAACACUUUCAGGUUCCAGAUUAUCAAACCUUACUUUCUUCAAAGCAACAAUCUUCUUUUGAUCAAGGUCACGAGCUCUAUAAACAUUACUGUAAGUUCCUUGGCCAAUCUGCAUUCAAAUGAAGAUCAGAAAGAGAAAGAACAAAAAGAACAACCUGGUAACAUCAACAUGUGACAGGACCACGGCAGAUAAGGAAAAAGAAUAAACCAUUCAACAAGCACUUCUAAAACCAGAAAGAAGAUUCUGAUGUUUUUACUUAAAAUUGUACCAUACAUCUAUAACUCUAUCAUAUACAAACAACAAAUGGAUUAAAGCAGUCCUAGGCCCUAGUACUAGCUCAUAAGGUAACAAAGUAAAAUGGAUAAGAUACUUCUUAGCACAUUUGCAAAUUUCCCAGUCCAAUAAAGACAAUCUCAGACCACAAGGCUUCCCAGCUUAACCAAAAGAAUUUACUGCAGGGAACCCUGUUUUUGGUAGUUCAAAAUAUUGACAGGUAAAUUCUUAUGUGACUUCAUAUUGCUAUCUAAUCAUGGAAUUCUCUGUUGCUUUGUCUUUGUGUGAAAAGUUUCAAACUCAUGUGUCACAGUGAACCUCAAACAAAUGCCUAAACCAUGAACACCUUAUUUGAAUAUCAUGCUUGUAAAGGAGUUACUUGUAUAUACAAUCAGUUGCUAAGUAGCAAAGAGACAGCAAUGAUAAAGGUAUAUUCAUAUUUGAUACUGACACUUGUUAAGUAAUCCUCAAUCCAUAAGAAGUAACUCUAAACAUAAUCACUUACUAAAAAGACCACCUCCUGUAUUUCUUCAGCACUCUUGGACCAACUUUUGCAGACAGACACAGACCUCUGGUCUUACUAGUACAAGAAACAAGAUUCAGUAGUUAUCAACAACAUUUUAAACAUUGAAGCAUCCGGGCAUCACUAAUCAGUUCUUGCUAAUUGCAUAACUAGGGGAACCUUCUUAAUGUAAAUUAUAUAAUCAUUGAAAGUCAUCAAUAGUCAAUCAAAACUCUAUUGUGCUUCCAAGACCUUGCAUGGCUAAACCGACGUCACCAACUUUUGAAAGACCGAAAUUUAUCAAUGCUAUAAUUAGAUAGUGUAUCAGUACACGAUCAAAUUUAGGGUUUCUUUUUGUGCUUUUUCCACCAGCCUGUCUAUAGGAGGGGGAAAAAACAGCAAUAAUAAUUUUACAAUUGAAAGCCACUGGACUGAAUGGCAAGAAAUUUUAGUUCCAUUUCCUAACUUAUCUUUAAGAAAAGCUAGAAAAUUUGAAGUCCUUAAAACCAAUCUACAUGCCCACUCAUGGUCACACCAAGAAAGGGCAUGUUUUGAGGUUGGUGUAUUCUAUUAGGUUGUUAUUCUCACUUGCAAAUCUUACUUAAAAUUGCUCCGAGAGGCAUGUUUUUCUGUCAUUAAAUUUUUUAAUUAACAUGGAGAAUUCACGAUAGAAUAGCAUUUAGUGAAACAGAACUCGAUAUAAAUGAAAAGAUACUUGCAAUUACGUUAAUUAACAAAAGAAUUUGAAAAAAAAAAAAGCUAGUGAUCUCAUGAGGCAUGGCCACUAUUUAGUGAUAUACAGUGAAAUUGAACUCAAAAAACAAGACAAAAGGAAAAAUGCAUACUUUAUCCAGCUUCUCAAAAGAAUCUGCACGCCGUGGCAGCCAUCCCCUGAUUGCUUCUCCGGCCACUGCAGCUAGCCAGGAAGGCCAUCCUGCUGCAACAUGCUCCCCUUCAGUCGCCUUUGGUAUAUUACCCGUCCCUGGAUGUUGAGCUACCGCAUAUUCCAUCGUCUCCCUCUUCCUAUCGACACUCUCACCACCAUGCAAUCUAGCAGAACCAUUUGAAUGCUUAUCAAUCAACGUUGUUCUUCCAUCAUUGCUAUCAUAUCGAUCUUUUACUCUGUAUGCUUCCUCCCUCCUAGAAGAGGUGGCCCUUGAUAACCGCAAGUCCGAUGAGGGCUUGCUAGCGAGCCGCUCUCUUGGGCUCUCUUUAUCCUCAAUUGCAGAGGGUUUACAGCAAAUGCAACCCAUCAUGCACAAAAACCACCUCCAACAACGCCCUGUUUUAGAAUCAAUAAUUACCCUUCAAGAAUUUCAUUUUUACAAUUCUAUAUUCUUCCCUUCCCAUUUCCACCAAACACAACCAAAGAAUAUUUGAGAAAGAAAUAAAGAAAGUAACCUAAACUAGAUAACUCUAAAUUCUAUCAAUCCCAUUUUCGCAGCCACUCAAUCAAAUGAACACACAACAUUCACUCCAAGGACACAACUUCACGACAACCAAACAGUCAAAACUCCAUAAUCAUGGACAAAAUAUCAGCAAUGACUAGUCAUUUGCUAUGAAAUUUCAAUACUUCAUCAAAUCCAGUAAACCGACAACCCAAAAAGACAACAACACCAAGAAGACAGCAAUUUGACCACCACCAAAACCUUAUCUCCCCCGAGCCAACAAAAACACCAAAAUCCCCACCGUAAUUUAGAAUCACAGGAUCAAAUCAAACACCCAAUGAAAAUGCUCGCCUUUCUUGCAAUGAACCCCACCAAUCCCUAAAUCCAACAAAAAUCUACAAAACAGGAAAAGCAGUGGAAAAUCUCUCAAUACAGAGCAUGUACCUUAACUUAAUAAACAACAACAAAAACAAACAGCAGGAAAGUGGAAACCCUAGAGAGAGACACCGAAGGUUUGUGGAGAAAAAGAGCGACAACAAGGAGAGACAGAUCUAGGGCACACAGAUUGCACUGAGAGAGUAUUAGCAGAGCAGUAGAGUAAUAAGUUCACAGAAGAUGAUAAAUAAUACUAAUAAUAAUUAAAAAUAAAGAAAGAUUCAGUUGCGAGUGAAUAUUAAUAUUGAAAACAAAUAAAUAAAUAAAUAAAAAGGUGGUGGUGGUGAGGGUGUUGAAUUAUUUAAUGACAUUUAUUGUCGCGGCGCGUGGAAAGAAUGCGAGGGGGACAGCUUUUUGCAUCAGCUGAGGAAGGAAACCCACUGCCAAUGCCUACGAGACAUUCGCUUUCUUCUUUGUUUUUAUUUCUCAAACCUCCACGCGCUUCCUUUUUCAAAUGAACCUUCAUAGGCUAACUUUCUUUAUCAUUCUUGUUAGCUAAUUAACCCACUAAACAAAUUUUAACUAUUUUAAAAAUAUAUUAUUCUUAAAAGUUUAUAAUAUUAAAAACAUUAAAAACGAUAUUUGCAAAAAAAUUGAAAAAGUAUACAAAUAUUAGUUAAACAUACCUAAUAUUCUCACUAGUAAAUUUAUUUUAAUAUUACUAACAUUUUUAUAAAUACAAAAAUCGAUAUUUGACAAUAAAAAAAAUUAAUAAAAUUUAUUUUUUUAAUUAAAUAAAAAACUAAGCCUAUUAAUUUCUGAUUUUAGCAAUGCCUUUAAAUUUUAGCCCUUUAUUUUUUAAUUUAUUUUAUAAAAACAAUAUAAAAAAUAAAUUUAUACUCAUAAAGAAAUAAAAUAUUAGCACUCCAAUACUUAGUCUGGUGAAAAAUGCAUUCUGUAACCUUGAAAAAUCUAAAAUUCGACUCUUCUAAUUUCUAUUUCAAAAAAAAAAUAAUAAUAAAAUAUUAAUAUAAAAAUAAUUUUAUAUCGUAUUAAUACUUCCACAUUUACCGUACUUGUGUGUAAUUGACGUGGACAAUGGGAAGUAUGUUGAAUUGUUUUUCAAAAUUUUCGUUGCGACACUUUACAAACAGUUAGUACUAAUUGAUAUCUGCAACUGUGACAGCAAGAAAUUAAAAAAAAAAAAAAGUUCAAAUUUACAUAAAAUGAUUAUUGUUUCUACUAAGUAAUUAUUUUGUAAAUAAUUUAAAUUAAUAAAACUAUGUUAAUUUAUUAACAUUAUUAAUUAAAAAUGGGUCAUCAUAUACUAUCCUCUCAAGUAUUUAUGUUUUAGUUGAAAUUUUUCAACACUCAGCUGCUUCUUCUUCUUCUACAUUAUUUGUGUACUAUUCAGAGUACAAUAAUGUUUAUGUACUUUUUUUUAUAAUAAUAAAACUCCUUCACAAAAGAAAAAAAAAAUCCAAUCUUUUUACUCUCUUAUAUUUAUUUUCUCUCUCUUCCACGUGGUCAUUAAUUUCUCUCUUCUAUAUUUCUCUUUCCUUUUUAAUCACAGACACAUCUUGGAUAUUUUAUUCUCACUUUCAUAAAAAAAAAAAAUUUCGUUUGAUUCAAAAUUUAAAUAAUUUUUCUAAUUUCUUUUACCUAACUAUUCAUAGUGAAAGUAUCUCAUAUAGAAUUCAAAGUGUUAUACUUUAAUUUUUUCUGAAUAAUUCUUUUAUCGAUUAAUUUUUUAGUUCGUUUUAAAAAAAUUCAACUGUUUGUUCGUUUGAAUAACUAUUUAACUUGUAUUUUUAAAAUUAUACUUGAUUCUUUCAUAAUUUCAUCCCUUGUAAUUUUAUUUUUCUUAAUGAAAUAACUUAUUUUAAAUUUUUUUUUUAAAAAAUCAUAUAUUUCUUUGUAGAUAUAGAUAAAUGUGUUACUAUUGGUAAUCAAUAACAUGAAGGAAUUAAAGUGUCAAGUCAAUAUAAUUUAGCCCUAAAAUUUUUUUAUUAGAAUUUGUUCUUUUUUUUUAAAUAGAUUUGGAAAAAGAAGUUAAUAUAUACUAUUUUUAAAACAAGUUAAUUUAUCUUUACAAAAAUUUUAUUGUUAAAUAACAUGGUAUUGUAAAAAUAUAUAUACAUAAAAAUUCGAAUUUUAAUCCAUCAAAAUUAUCGUAUAAUAAUAACUUUUUAUGAAUUUACAUAUUUAAAAAACAACAAUCAAUCUGACUCUCAAAUUAAUAUUAUAUUGAAACGAUCGAGUAAAGCAGUAAAAAAUGUUAUUAUUAUCCAUAUAUAUUUUUUUAUGCAUAAAAUUUUGUAUAAUAAAUUUUUUGGCCCACUCAAAAUAAUUAACCCCUUUUAUGAUGCCAUGAUUAAUGAUUAUUUAUGUGACCAUUGAAUGAUUCUGUUAACCCUUUUUGUUUCACUGAUUUUAAUGAAAAUUUGGGUAUGAUAAUGGAAGUUACUUUGACUUUUUUUAAAAAAAAAAUUUGAUUUGAAUUGUUUUUUUAGAACAUCAUUGUUAUGAAAAAUAAAAUAGAAGCAUAUAAUCUUUUAUACAUCCUAAGGAGUUGCCUUUUUGAAGUAAAGUUUGAUACUUUUAGUAGGAAAAGGUAGGGCAUUUUCAGAGAAAAUGAAAGUUAUGGAGUUUCUCAGAAGUGGGAAAAAAAUCAUGUAAAUGAAAAAAUAUAUAGAAAAUAAUCAAAUAUUAAACAAAGAAAAGUCCAACUUCUUGGACUAUGCAAUUAACUUUUUUCAAAAAAAAAAGGGUGUAGGAUUAGUCAAACGCUGGAAGAAGAAAACAAAAAUGUGGAAGGAAGCCAUCCUUGGGGCCAAGGAAGGUUCACAUAACAUGUUACCUAUCACUCGACAAAGACAAAAUUACUUGGCGUAGACACAUGCAUAUGGCCGUAGGAUAAAAAUUAUCACAUCUUCCGGCCAUUUGGAUUUUUAAUUGGUUGAUUUGAAUAAUAUAUUUAAAAUAAAAAAAUAAAUAUAAUUAUUUUUUUUCACGAAUAAACAUAUUUGGGCUCAUGGGCUAUGUUACCUACUAUUUUGAUUUUAAUAAAUGUGAGAAAAUAUAAAUAAAAAAAUGGAUAAAAAGAAGAAAAAAAAAAAACUACCAACACAAAUCAUGCAUCACUAUGUCUGUAGUUACUUACUUCCUUAUGCAUAUGGGGAAGCAUACCUAACAUUUAUGGCAGUGUCUUAUCUCCUUGCCAUGCAAAAUUACAAGUAAUUAUAUUGAAUAUUUAUAUUAAUUUAUUUAUUAAUUUAUGUAUUUAUCGAUUCCAUACAUGGAAGAAUAAUCUGAACACCACGUUUCUCGAUUUUUCAUUAAUACUUGUUAACAAUUUUUCACUAAUACUCGUCUUUUCGUUUUUAGUAAGGUGAGAUUUCAUGAAAUAUUACCGUAAUAUUUUUUAUCUAUGAAAAAAAUUCUUUAUCUACUAGCUGGCCAGUAUUAAUCGAAUUUUCAGAAAAAUUUAAUAACAGCUCUAUAUUUUUAUAAUAUAAAAACUAAUGAAUACAAAAAUAAGAUAUACAUUCUUACACAAUAAUUAUUAAAUUUCAAACUAUUCAUUACGCUCGCUAUUUUCUCCAAUUCAUUGAUCUAAAUGUUAGAAUGAUUGCAUAAACGUCAAUUCGUGUUUUUUUACAGACUAAUAAAUUAUAAUUUCAUUUAAUUUCAAUUUCAUCGAAUAUAAAUAGUUUACUAACAAUUAUAUUAAAUUUAAUUUUAUGUGAAUUUAAAGUGAUAAUUUAAUUGUUAUUGUUAUUAUUGAUAUGCAUUUGGUAAUGUCUUAAAAUGGGUAGACAGUAGGAGUACUCGGCGAUGAUCUUAUAGGGCCUAGGUGUGUAAUUUAGUGAAACACAUGGGGGUGGACCACUACAACUCACUCAUGUUUUUCCUAUGUCUCAUUUAAUGUCCUCAUUUAUAACCCCCACUCUCUAUUAUCUCCUUCAAUUUUAGGUCAAAUAAAUAAUUUAGCCAUUAAUUUUUUUAAAAAAAUUAAUUAACAUUUUGAUUUUUUUUUCAAUACAUCUAUAAUUUCUUAAAACUUAUAUUAUCAGUUACUUUCUUUACUUUUAAGUAUCUUUAUUUAUUUUAUUUCUUUUAUUAAAAAAAGUAUCUUUAUUUUUUUAAUAAUAAUUAAUAGAGAAAAAAAUAUUAAAAUUGAAAUAAUUAGAUGCGAUAAAUAUUAGUCAAAUUAAAAAAAGCAUGUUAUUAUAAUUUAAGUGAUUUAAUAAUUCUAUAAUAAAAAAAAGUAAACGACCGUUAAAAAUUAAGAGAUAAAAAGUACUAUGUCAGUUUUAAUUUAUUAGUAAUAAAUUUUUUUAAAAAACUUUUAUUUUACUGUUGGGCACAAAAGUAAGCUCUUUUUUUUUUUUNNNNNNNNNNNNNNNNNNNNNUUACAGACCAAUUUUCUUUUUGAAAUAGUUAUUUAUAUAUUACGUUUCUAAUACUACUACUAUUAAAAAAGUACACUUUAUUAAUUUUAAAAUAAUAUAACAGCAUAAAUUAUUUGGUUGUUAAUUUAAUAAUAGUACAUAGCGUAUAAAAUACAUUAUUCGUGGAAGAUAGGUAAUAUAUUAAUACUAAAAAAUAAGGUCACAUAAUAAAAGUUUGAUGGGAGGAUAUUCAAUUCCGCUAAAAACAAAUGAUUGAACACUUCAGAAAAAUUCGCUCCUUAAUUAGGGAGCAAUAUUUUAUAAAACAUUAUCGUUAGAAAGUGUAAAUCUAACAAAUUUUCAUUAUACAUAUGAUUACAGAAACUCUCAUUAAUUAGCUGGUAUUCAUUAGAUUUUUAAAAAUUGCAACAAUUAAUUUUAUAAUUUUAAAAUAUAAAAACUAAUGAUCACAAAUAUUAAAAAAAUUAUUAUUUUUAUAUAAUUACUCUUAAUUUUUAAAUAAUUAUUUAUAUUUAGUAUUUUUUUUUUGUUUAAUCAUUGAAAUGAUUGUUUUAGAUACCAACCACCUCAAGUUAUAUUGUUAAAUUAAUCAAUCGCAAUACAAUUAUAUUUCAAUCACAUCACAAUUGAUAUUAUUAAUUAAUUUUCAUCCUUUAAUUUUAAUUGGUAAAUAUUUUAUUAUUAAAUAAUUAUAAUUUUAAAAAUAUAUUAAUUAAACUUUUAAUUUUAUAAAAAUAUACUAAUUAAUUUAUUGGUAUUAAGAAUAUUUUAAAAUUUUUUAUUAUAGUUAUAAACUGCGUAAACGUAAAUUAAAAAACAAAAAAAAAAAAAACUGCGUAAAAGUGGACGUCGGUUUUAGAAAAUGGGCUGGACUUGAGUUGAGAUUUGCUUUUUGAGGCCUAAAUCAAAUGAGGUUUGGCGGAUUGACUUAGGCUCACAUAAUAAAUUAUUAUGAAAAAUUAAUAUAAUAAAAUUGAUUAAUUAUUUUUUUAUUUUCAAAAAACACAUUCAAUUAUAUUUAUAGUUUUAAAAACUAUACCAAAAAAUUAAUAUAAUAUAAUAAAAUUGAUAAUGACAAGGUAUCUACAAAAAUCAUUUUAGGCAACUCCAACUCCUUUCACUAAAUUUGAUUUUGUAAGAGGCUCCUCAGUUUCUUAAAAUGUCAUUUUUCUCUUGGUCUUUUUUCGGUUCUUGAUUUUCUACUACUACGUGGUUCAGAUGAUUUGUAUGGCUUUUGACUAUGGUUUGCAAGAGAAAUGCUCAAAGUGGCGCGGUGGAUGUUAGGAGUGACCAGUAUUCGAUUCAAAUCGAAAAAAUUGAUCGAACUGAAUCGAAUUAAAAUUUUAAUUCGGUUUUUUAUAUAUUUCGGUUUGGUUCGAUUUUUAAUUUUAGAAAUUUCAGUUAUUUCGGUUAAGUUCAAUUUUGAUCAGAAAAAAAUUGAAAAAAUCGAACCGAACCGAUUAGUGAUAAUAAUAUAUUUUUUUAAUAAUAUAGAGAAAUUAAAUUAUAUUAAAAUUAAAAUAUUUUAAUUAAAUUUUAAAAUAUUAAAAAUAUAAAAAAAUUAUUAAAAAUCAAAACCAAAAAAACCGAAUCGAACCGAAUCAGACCGGUUCGAUUCGAUUUGAUUUAUGACUAAAAUCGAUUCGGUUCGAUUUUUAUAAACACUACAAUUUUAGUUUUUGAUUUAUUCAGUUCGGUUCGAUUUUAAACUGAACCGACCGAAUGCGAACCGACCGAAUGCUCACCUGAUGUUGCAAUCCGGAUCGGGUCUAUCAGGUUAAAGAAUCUGGUUGUAUUUGAAUGUAAGCUUAUGUGGGCCUUGGCCCUGUACUUGGCUUCGGCCAUUCUUUUGUCGCAAAAUAUUAUACCUUUGAAUUUUUUUUUUAAAUAUUUUAAUAAUGAACUGUAAAUUAUAAUUAAAAAAAGAAAAAUCCCAAAGACCAGAAUAACAAAAGAGCAAAAUUGCAUGUGUCAACUGCCGAGUUAUCUUUCCACGCACAUUUAUUUUUUGCAUGAUAUCAACAGAAAACUUCGGUAUUUAAAAGGCGGACAAACGCUUGCAGUAAAGUUUGAACACAACCCAUCUCAGAGCAGCAUUGCUAUUCAAAUCUGAGGCUUCCAAAUCUAUGCGCAUUGUCUCCUUCUGGAUUUUUGGGGUGUGUCAUACUGCCAUUCGAUUGAUAUAUUUCUUGCAUUCUUUCUUUUAUUUUUUUAUUUUCCGUUGGGUGAUCGAUGUGAAUGUACUUAGGCUCUUGUGGAUUUGAGGUGUUGCUUAAAGUGUUCGGGGUUAUGAUUCAAUUGGGGAACCAAUUUCGUCUGGAAUUGAUUUUACUGGAGUUACUUUAAGAGACUGGAUUUUCUGAGAAGUAAAAGCGGUUUCGAGGCCGGUUUUGCGGUUAAUGGGUUUGCUCAAAGUUGGAAAUGAGUUUAUGUUGGGAUUUUUUUGAUUCGAUUUGUAGAUGGAGACUAGAUUUUGGUUGAAAUGAAAUGUAGUCUGCAUAUGGAUUUUUGUGGUUCAUGUGAUUUAAAUUGAGUUUGCAUCCUUAUUUUUAUAAAGAGAUUAGAUUGAAUUUUUGGGUUUUGGAUGUCCAGGAGCUACAUUGGAUUUGAGACUACAUAUUUGAUAAUUGACUGAAAUUGAAGAACUGGGUUCAGUCUUUGGAACUAAUUUGCUCGUGAGUUUUCUGUUUAGGCCCUAAUUUUUGGGUAACACAGGCUAUUUCUUCUUUUUGUUUGGGCAUUUGUUCUGAUAUCACAUUUUAGAUUUCACGAAAGUAGUUUUUACCUGGUGGGAUUGAUUUGAUAUUGCCUUGAUAUGAUUUUGGGUUUCUUUUAUGUGAAUGACAAGGAGCUUCUAGACAAAGUACAGCAAAGGGGGAUGGAAUUUGAGAUUGCCGGUAUUCAAGAUCAUUGGAAGUGUGAAAGAAGCCGGUUAUGAUUUUUAAGACUGACAUGUACUCGGUUUUCACAUUAUAGUUUCUGGGAGUCCUUUGUAAGAGGGGAGAUGAGAACUAUGGUUGUGAGUUUGGAAGUACAAUGACUGGAGGGUCAUUGGGUCUACGGGGAAGCCAUGGUUCGUCACAGCCUUCAGCAAAAUUUCCAGCCAUUGCUCGGAAAUAUUCUUCCAAAAUGCUGGCGUCAAGUCUGAGAGAGAAAGAGCGUGUUCUCCCUGUCAUUUGCCGGUACUUGGGACGGAGAAGGGUUGCAAUGAUUCUAUUGGUUGCACUUGCUCUUCUAGCUUUUGUUUGGGGUUCUCUUAAAGUUAGUAAAGGUUUGUUUCAGGCAUGUUUUCUAUUUUUUUAAAGCAAGUCAAGUAAUUUGUUUUAACCAUGUCUACUGUUGUUUUUGCAUCAAAUUAAAUAAUUUAGGCAUCUAUUUGUUCUAGAUGCAGUUGUCUUUGGUAUCAAUAGUAAUCAGUUAUUUACAAGUCCUAACCUCAUUGAAAGAUUUCAAAUAGCAAGGAAAUUAAUCGUUCAUGGAGGAUCAGGCAUCUAUUAGUUUUCGUUUUUUGAAGUUUUGGUAGGAAAACAAAAAUAAGUACAUUCCCCUGGUUGAAGUUAAACAAAUAGAUAGUUAUAAGUUGGUUACCAACUGAUUUCUUUGCAGAAAGAUUUAAAUUUGAAUUAUUAUUAUUAUUAUUUUUACCUUGCAUCAAUAUAUAAAAGGGUUUAAUAGUUCUGUUUCUGUGUGAAACAAUAACCCAAAAGCUAGGUCUUUGUUUCUUGAAUUUAAAGAGGGAUUAACCACUACUUUCAAGUUCCGGCCUGGAUUCCAAACUUGGAAAUGGGUUUAUUAUAAUUUAUAUGGUUCUGUGCUGACAAAAUCCCCAAAAUUCUGGAAUAGAAUUUAGGCUCGUUUUGUUUUUGGUGCAAGCAUGCCAGAAUGUAGGAUUAUCUGAUUUACUGUUAGACCAUAGUCAGCUAAUAGUUUUUUUUUCCCUUUAAUUAUGUUAUUAUUAUCUUCAAUUCUAGGGAGAUUUACAAAAGGUCCUUUGGUAUUGCUAUUAUCAAUAAGUUGAUCCCUAUAUUUUAAAAAGCUCAUUAAGACAUCCUUAAGUUUUGAUUCCAUUAGACACUUUAGUCCUUUCCUUCAUUUUUUAAACAUAUUCUGUUAGUCAAAUUUCAAAUAAAUAAUUAUUUAAUCCAUAAAUUUUAUUAUUAUUAACACUUUCACUCAUUUAUUUUUGAAAAAUAGAUUAAAACAUCCUUUUCUACUGGGGUAUUUUGGUCUUUUCCUUAAAUGUUAACCUCAAAAUGGAUAGAGGGACGAAAGUACUUAAUAUAAUCAAAACUUAGGAAUGUUUUAAUGAGUUUUUGAAAAUACAUGGGUGAACCUAUUAAUAACGACAUUAUUCAUGGACUUUUUUAUAAUUCACCCUUAAUUCUAGUUUAACUUCUUCAUAAGUAGAUGGAGGAAAUUCUGUUCUUGUUCCUCAUUCAAUUACGGAUUGCAGGGUAUAUAGAGAUAGUGAUGUAGAACCAAUAAAAUUAAGAGGAACAAAUGGAUGAGAAACAAAUUCUCAAAGGUAGAGAAACAAAUUAUUAAGUGAAAAGACAAACAAAUUGAUACUUUUUUUUAACUCAAAUUAAUUGUCAAAUAUUAGUAUUGUGAUUAGGAACCCUAAAUCCAAUAUUAAUCAGGAAUCCCAAAUUAACACAUAAUUCCUAAAUUUAAUAGAAUAAAACUCUACUUCCUAUUUUUUUUUCCAAAAGUAGGUAGUCCUGCAAUCCUUAGUAAAUCUUGCAUCAAAUAGAGCCUAUUUUUUUUUAUGUUUCCUUCAACUUAAGAAGAUAGUUGAUUGUAGAGGGUUGCCUGAGGUCAUGCAUUUUUGAGCCAUAUAAACAACCUCUUUGCAAAAGCAGGGUGAAGGUUGUGUACAUCAACUCUCCCCAAAGCCUAGAAUUGUUAGAUUGCUUCAUAAAUUGGGUCAUCAAUUAAGAUAGUUUGAGUAUGAUAAGCAUUGACUCAAAUGAAAGAAAUCCUUUUAAUUAGUUUCAUUAUUCACCUAACAGUGUCAUGGUUCUGUAAUAUUUGUUACUUCUUGGAUUAUUUACUGCAUUUUGGUUUAUAUUUUGUGUGAUAAUGCAACAGAAGGCACUAGUUCUAAUGUUAAGAAAAACAAUGUAGCUUCUCUCCAUCAACACGAGGAGGCAGGUAGUGGUUCAUUAGAACAUCCAUGCCACAGAUUUGCACUUCCUCCUCCCCCUCCACUUGGUGGAAGACGGCUUGGACCACGUCGUAAGUUUUGAGUUGCUUUGACAGUGGUUGUUCAUCAUCUUGUUUUAAUUAUCUGCCCGUGAUUAUAGAAUGGACUGCACCACAAUUUUGAAUCAAUAAUGGAGCAUGAAUUUGUAAAAGUAAUUAAAGCAUGAAUUUGUAAAAGUAAUUAACUUCAUGACUAAUAAUUCUUAUGGCAAGCUCUGCUCCACUUUAUCUGAAGGUAAAUUGGCAUAAAUGUGCAAUCAUAUAUAUUAUAGCCAUAGUCAUUUUUUGCACCAUAAAUACUAACAAUCUAUUUAUGUGAUUUUAAUAACUCUGUUGACAUCUUGACACAAUAAAGUACGUCAAACACCAAAAUUUGAGUAAACCUACAUUUAACAUGUUUGAUGAUCACAUAAUUUUCAUUUUGUUCAUAUUUGUAUGUCAUUCAGCCUGUUCGGUUUGUUACAUUCCUGUGGAGCUAGCCAGAGCUAGAAUGCCAAGUUCUCUAUCAGUAUCUCCAGUGCUUCGCAAUUUGACAUAUGUUGUUGAUGGAAACCCACGCAAAACCGAACUGCAUGGUGGUUCUGAUUUUGGUGGAUAUCCUUCUUUAAAGCAGAGGAAUGAUUCUUUUGAUAUACGAGAGUCCAUGACAGUGCACUGCGGGUAGGUAUUAUUCUUUUUGAUCUUGUUGCUUAAGUAAACUUACAAGUAAUGAAGAUAUCCUGACUUCUGAGUGAAUCAUUUAUGGCCUUUUUUGUCCAUUGAAUUAUGGUGCUUGCAAGUAUGGUUUGUUUAUGUCAAAAAAGUGUGUUUUUUUUUGUUUUUUUUUUUGGGGGGGGGGAGAUGUUGACCACUGAAAAAACCCAUUGGUUAAAAGAUGAAAUGGGGGGAGGCAUGGGGGGGAAGAGUAGGUAACGUUGAUGGAUUUUUUUUUUCCUGUGGCAAAUUCCGGGAAAAACUGUAAAAGAUACAAGUGAGAGAUAAAGGGGAAAAUAAGGUGGUAAGUAAACGAUGAUGAAGUGAAUGGAGUUUAAUUUAAGUUGGUAGAUAAAUGAUAAUGAAGUGAAAGAAUAUUAGUACUUGAUAGGUAAAUGUUGUAUAAGUGAGGAAUGUUCCUUAUUAUAUACGUGCCUGUCUGCUAAUUUAUAUUCUUUUAUCAGAUUUGUCAAAGGAAAUAAACCAGGUCACCAUACCGGAUUUGAUAUUGAUGAAGCUGACCUUAUGGAGUUGCAGCAGUUUCAUGAAGUCAUUGUCGCAUCAGCUAUAUUUGGUAUUGUUGUGAAUAAGCCAGUCUACUUAAAUAUCUUGUUUUAUGCAUCCUUUCCUCAUCAUUGCUCUUCUGACAGGGAACUAUGACAUAAUCCAACAGCCCAAGAACAUCAGUGAAGAAUCAAGGAGAACUGUUCCUUUCUACAUGUUUGUUGAUGAAGAGACAGAGGCAUAUAUGAAGAAUUCUAGUGUCCUGGAUAGCAGUAUGAAAGUUGGAUUAUGGAGGAUUAUUGUUGUCCAUAACAUUCCUUAUAAUGACUCAAGACGUAAUGGGAAGGUCAGUUUGCUUUCAUCUGAUGUAUUUUUUCUCAAACUUCUUUAGGCAUCAACUGGGGGCAAGGAUCGCAGCACGCAGGUCCUUAAAGUGGAUCUUUCUAUACAUAUGCAUGCAUGUCUGAAGUUUCUGUAUGGCAGCAUUAUGAUUCCUUAUUCUUUAAUGGGCUUAGGUAGUCAUCUUUGACUAUUUUACUGAUUUUGAACAAGAUCCGAGUCCAAGACAACUGUCUAGGUCUCAUCUUUGGCAUAUGUUUGUGUAUGAUAAAUAUGUUACCCUUGGGAGCUAUAGUCUGCAGAGGUUAGAAAUAAAUAAAUAAUCCAAAAUAAUAAUUUAUCAGCAAUAGCUAAAGUUGCUGAUUUUAUUAGAAAGGGGUAAUAGAUAACUAUUAGAAGUACUUGGGAUAUUGUGAAAGAUCAUGAGAACACUCUAUAAGGAGGAAGUUUUGGAAGUAAGGUAUGAGUUUUAAAGUAUUGGUUUUGAUUGGGAUGACGGUUUUGUAAAGGAGGUAAGAACUUUGAAUGUUUCAAAACCUGUCAGGAUUCUUCAAACGGGAUUAGAAAUUAAUGCGGGUUCUUAGAGAAUGUAUUGUUUCACUCUUUAACUCCAUCAAUUGUACAAUUAGGAAUAUUAGUGAUCUGUAUGGUUUCGAAAAGCGCCCCUCAAAGGGCAAGGUGUAUUCUUUUGAAGACAGGAAUAAGCUUGUUUAUACUUUCCGACUCUCUCAAGCAUACCAGAAUAGUAUCCACAGAUCAUAAUGCAGCCCAUGUCAAGCAGAUUUGAAAAUUAAUAAAUACUUCAAUAUAAAAGUCGAAUUGUUGGUUUUCUAAUCAGGGGAGAAAAAAAAGAGAACUCUUCUGUUAUAGACGCUUUUAUCGGCAAGACUUAUCAUCGACAGCAGCAAGUAGAUCUCGGUUCAAACACUUAAUCAUCCUUUUUAGAAAAGACUAGUUUCAGAUAAGGAUGAGUUUUAUUAGACUAAGAAUAUGUUGUCAUUAUCUUAUCUCUUUAAGUGUUUUUGUUAUAGUGCUAUUUUCAAGUGUUGGGCUGCUACUUGGUUAAGAAAAUUAUGGGUGCUGCCCGAGUCCACCAACACCUUCAUUGGAUAGCCCUAUAAUUUAGCUAUCAGUUGCAUGGUUCUGGAUUUAUGCAUAUUUUUGGGAUUCUGCAUGUCUAUGAUUGCAUGCAAUGAAAUUGCCAGAUUGUCCUCAAAUCCUUCUUCUUCAGGUGCCACAUGAGUAUCGUUCGAUUCUAACCAAAAUAGUUUUUUACAUUGAUGUCCGGAGCUAUACAAUUCAUCGUAGUUGUAACACAAUCCUUUUGCCCUCCUAUCUGCCAUUUCACUUCUGGAUGAUUUUUUUAUAAACAAUGUUGCACUCCACUUCCGGAAAUAGCUAUGGAGCGCUGCCAUCCUGACAGUGCCUUGCUGGUGAAAGGAAACUGCAUAAGCUUGUGAUUCAGCCAUAUGUUUUUUUGGUGGCCUAUAUUUCUAUCUAGAUGCCUUUUCCUUUCAAAGGAUCGAGCAAGAUUCUUAACUGUGAUCAAAUUGGGAGGAUUCUGCAUUUCGAUAUCUGUUAAAUUUGGAUCGGGCCUAACUUACCCCAAAAGCUAGCUCAAGGGGAGGAGUGCCUAUGGCCCAUAUAAGGGGCACAUUACCCCUUUCCACAACCGAUGUGGGAUUCAACACACCCCCUCACGCCCAGAAUUUUUACUGGUGCGUGAAACAUUUAUGGAAGGCCCAACAUCGGGUGGGGAGGCUCUGAUACCAUGUUAAAUUUGGACCGGGCCUAACUCACCCCAAAAGCUAGCUCAAGGGGAGGAGUUUCUAUGGCCCAUAUAAGGGGCACAUUACCCCUUUCCACAACCGAUGUGGGAUUCAACAAUAUCCAAUGGCACACUUUGGGUUAACCAACAAUAAAAAGAUUAAAAGAUCAACUUGCUUGCCUGCUUGAACGGUAUCAGCUCAUGCUAAGAAGCAUUGAAAUUGCUUCUGAUAUUCUUCUACACUUCCUGAUUGUUUAAGGUCGACCAACUCUCCCAAAGGAUUUUCUCGGAGGGUGGUCCAAAUUUCAUAUUGCAAUAACCCUUAAAAAGUUGUCUAGGACAUCCCAGGUUCCUUCUGAUUCAAUUUGUAGAAUAAUAGUUGAGCUUCUCCUAAUAGAUGGAAUGCUGCCAACCCCACCUUAACCUCCUCCAGCGUCAUUUUUGCACCUGUGCAACCAGCUUAAAGGAUCGUCAGAAUCAUCAAACACAAGAAAAUCUAGCUUGGGACACCUUGGCACACUUCCAGCAAUUGGACAACCUUCUGUUGGCUCGGAAUGGCUUUUCGAGUGAUUGUUAUGACUGUUGCCGAUCCCUACCUCAAGUUCUUUGCCUCGGGUUGGAUUCGAGUUCUCCACCAGCUCCUGUAUUUGCUGCAAAAGAGCUUGAAUUUGUGCUUCCAAAUGGGAUUCUUUUAGUGCUACUCGAGCUUCAUUCUGGGCCUGAAUUUUCUAGAGUAAUGCUCGGAGAUCAUGGGAUUUUGAUAGUGCUACUCGAGCUUCAUUCUGGACCUAAAUUUCUUAGAGUAAUGCCCGCAGAUCACUCCUUGAUUCUCCCAUGACACUUGGCUCUAAUACCAAGUUAUUGAGUUCUCUGAUUAAGGAUUUUGUCACGGAUCGAUGAACUACUGAAUCUUCAGCAGUAGCAGCCUUUCCCUUAUUCUUGUUUCUUCCUGGCUUAGCUGAACGUAUGAUUGCUGUGAUGGAGCUUGUUGGAAGGAGCUCCGUUAUCUUAAGACUCGUUAAAGAGAGAGCCUCUAAUCUCGAUUUGUAUCUUAGAAUAUGCUUGCUUUAUUAAUAAAAAUUCAUCUCUAUAGAAAUUACAAAUUGAGUCCUACUAUAAAUAGUCCUAAGCAGAUCAGAAGUCCUACUUAAAAUAAAAUAGCAAAAUUCUUAUCAGAAUAAAAUAGCACUAUAACAAAAACACUUAAAAUGAUAAGAUAAUGACAACAUAUUCUUAGUCUAAUAAAAUUCAUCCUUAUCUAAAACUAAUUUUUUCUAGAAAGGAUGAUUAAGUGUUUGAGCCGAGAUCUACUUGCUGUUGUGGAUGAUAAGUCUUGCCGGUAAAAGCAUCUAAAACAUCUUCAUACUAGAAACAAGUUCUAGUGGGGUACUCAUGUCAUAAUUGGGAACUUUUCUAGAUUUGUGUUUUUUCAACUUCUUUUUUCCUAAAGAGUAGCAGGUCAUAACCAUAAAGGCAUGUGUAGACAGUUUGGUGUUCUUCGUGAAAUACAUGUGUGAGUGUAGGUAGGCUCUGUUCUUGUCAAUUUCAUGUCUGAACAAGUGUAGUGUAUAUCUGCUGGUGCAUGUUAAAUACAUGUAUGAUGUAGGAUAUUGUCUGAAGGAGGGUUAAAUUUGAUGGUUUGCACAUAAGCAUAAACCUGCAAUGAUUCUCUCUCUCCCUCUCUCUCUUUCUCACAUUCUCAUUCUCGUGAAUGACUGAAUGCUUAAUGUCUUUGGGCUUGACCUAAUAGUAUUCCAGAUUAUAAAAAUGAGAAAAUCUCAGUGUCUUCUUCCUAUUUCUACUUGUUAUCUUGCUCAAAAUGGAGUGGCCAACUUGUUUUGUUUAUUUGCAGAAUUCGUUUGUGCGCACAUCUGUGUGGGCUAAGACUAAAUUCUAAUUCUUCUACCAAUUAUAGCGUAGCAAUAGGUUUCUGUUUAAAAUUUUCUUAAUUGAUCAUCUAAAAGACUUCAUUUUGAUUUAUUUCAACUCUAAGAUAUUUAUUUUAUUCUAUAAGACCUCUUUUGAAUUGAUUCUGUAUAUCUUAUGUGAUGGUACUCAGUGGUGGAGGUUGUGUGCUUUCAUGUAAUUGGGGCAGGUUCCAAAGCUUCUGUUGCAUAGGAUCUUGCCCAAUGUUCAGUACUCCAUAUGGAUUGAUGGAAAACUCCAGCUUGUGGUAGAUCCCUAUCAAGUUCUUGAGAGGUAUGACUCAUUUUCUGUAUGAAUUUGCUGUACUUAGAUUGUCAUGAAUAAUAAUCAAGAUUUGUACUUCACUUCCCUCCUUACUGCAUAUUUCUUUUGAAUUUCUCAGUACAUUGAUUUCACAAUCCUAGCUAAGAUGCUAAUAACUAGGCUUCACUUAAAUCUGUCUGCCGAUUAGUGUUUUCCAGCUUACUGCUUGACAUUUGAGGUUUUGAUGCUACCUUUUAGGAUUAUAACAAUCCUAGCUAAGAUGAGUUUCCUCUGUUCAGGCUCUGCUUAGUCUCCCUAACACAACAACCUUCACAUUCUUUAUUUGAAAUUUGAAUGGGCUCCACAAAGCUUGCGGAGCUUGCACUUAGUUUGAUGAGCCCAUGGAAUCAAAUAUUUAGAUCUCUUAUUAAGUAAAAUGGCCACUGACAUUAGUCCUUACGAGGAAAAAUAUUGCUUCAAAAAGAACUGGGCCGCCCACUGGGGAAACCCAAAUUAUGGCUUUUUAAGCCACCGGUAUGGUGCAAGAAGGAUACCUUCCCUUCAUGUAAGAAGGACAUCGCCCUCUCUCCCUUGCAGCAAACUGAUAAGAGACAAAAUCUCACAUCAUCUUCGUCUUGAUAUGAUGCUAUAACCUUUUGGUAGAAUCUUUUAGUUUAAAAAUUCAAUUUUAUCUUAUACAUUGCGGCCACCAUUGUAAGAUCAAAUAGAAUACCUUAACUUGAGACUAAAAUUUCACCACAUUUAUCAUUAAAAUUAUCUAAAAUAUAAAUAAAAGUGGUAAGCAGGGGAGGAAAUAAUCAGAUAGCCAAAGAUAAUUUAGUAUUUGACAAUGAAGAAUUUAAUUUAAUUGGCUGUUAAAAUCCAAGCUAUUUUAAAUUUUAGUAUUUAAAUUACUUUUAGAGCUUGUAUAAAUAUAAAAUUCUUAGCCUUAUUUGUAGUUAAAUUCUACUUAGUUAAAAUUUUUUUAUUAUAAUUUAAAAUAAGAUUUUACAAAAAAACUAAAAUCUGAAUUAACAAAUUUAAAAGUUUUUUUUAUAAAAUUAUUUUUUACACUAAUGGAUUCAACAAAUUUAGGUUGAUUGUUACAAAAAUUAACUAAAAGUCAGAAAAUUCACUUUAUUAAAUUUGAUCUUCUAUAGGAAAAUUUAAAAAAUCAGGAUUUACUUUUUUCUAUUAACUUAUUUGUUUUCAAAAAAAAUUAAUAAACAUUGUAUUGAAUUUAAUUUUUUUAUAACCUUUUUCUUCUAUGGCCAUUUUUAAUUAAUUAUUAAAAUAUGUUACUUUAUGAUAAUAUAUGAAAAUAUAAAUGAAAAAAGUUUAUAUUACUAAAUAAAAUAAUAUAUAAUUCUAUUCACAAAGUUUAUAAAUUAAUUAUAAAACUUAUAAUUUAAUUUUUCCUUUAAUAUAAUCUUACUCAAAUUCUAUUUAUUAUUCAUAAAGUUAAUCAAUUUAUAAAAAAUAAAUGAUAUAUUUAAUUGGUUGUGUAAAUUAAUAUAUUUCAAAAUUUAAAAUAAAAAUAUUAAUUCUAAAAUUCUUAUCCAUUAGAAUACAGCCAAACAAUAAAAUAUACUAUUAUUUUUCUGAGUAACUAUUUAAUUAGUAAUUUUUAAUAAAUAGAACUCUAAUUAUAGUGUUAAAUUUCGUCUAAAGAUUUGUAACUAUAGAUAGUUAGUCAAUAUACAACACAUUCUUUCCUAAGGCAAACUUUAAUCAUCAAUUAAUAAAUUCCUUAUUUAAUUAAUCAUGUUAAGCGUUUUAAAUUAAAUAAUUUACUAUAAAUAUUAAUAAAUAAAAUGCAGUUAAAUAAAAUAAAUAAUAAAAAGUUAUCCAAACUUAUUCACUGGAUUUGAAUUUAUGCAUAUUUUAAAAUGAUUUGUAAUUUGAUUAAAUCUAUGUUUAGUUUAAAUUUGAUUUAUUUAUUAUAUCUAUUUUUAAUUAAUUUCUCACAUAUCGACUAAUGUAAAAAUUUGUGAAAUUGGAAAGAAAAAAUCAAAUAAGGAAAAAUAAUAAGAAGAAAAUUUAUUUAAGGGUUUAUGGACAUAAGAAAUAAUUUUUUUUGUUUUAUAGUUCCAGUGCUUUAUUAUUACCUCAACUUACAAAUAUGAAUAAAUCAAAAUGAAGCCUAAUAACAUUUGAUGGAUCUAAUUAUAUAAAAAUAUGAGUAUUAGUUAAUAAAAUGGUUAUCAAAGAAUUAUAAAGCAAAUAAACAAAUAAAAACAUAUAGAAUUAAAUUUACACAUUCACAAAAAAAAAUCUAAAAUUAUUAAAUUAUAUAAUCAAGAUAUUCGUAUUUCUAUACUAUACUUAUUUUUUUAUUAAUUUAAUUAACUGAAUUGAUAUGUUUUAUUAAUUUUAUUUUGUUAUAACUUUUUUGAAUUCGAUUCAAAUUGAGAGUAAAAUAUAGUUAUGAUAGUUUGCUUCUAUGAUAAUGAAUGACUAAAUUAUUUGCUUAUCAAGAAUAUAUUAUGCUUAUAUUGUAUUAUAUCUGAAAAAUUAACAGAAAAUUUUAUAUAAAGAAUUAACUUAUGAGUAUGUACAAAAAGUACAACUAAUUUGGAAUGCAUGUUUAAAAAACUAUUGAAUUUGAAAAGCCUGAAGUUGUUGAUAAUCAACUUUUGUCAAAUGUCAAACUACUAACUAAAUGAGCCUAAAGGACUUGUUCACAGACAUUAUCAAACCAAGCUUACUUGUAUCUUCUUUGUCCAUUUGAUUAAUCGAGUUUCAAAUUCCCCUUCAAACUUGUCAGUUACCUUUAUAAACAAUCACAGAUGGAUUAUUAUAAAGCUUGUACACUAACUAUUCACUGAGCUAGAUAGUUUUCUCUCAUGCUCUUAAUUUCUCCCGAAAAAGUAUAUCAAAUAAUUACAAGUGCAGACUGUUUUGUUGACUAAAUCAAUUUGCUUAACUAUACUUCUAUAUUUAUUCAUAUUUUUCCCCUUUAAAGAUGAUGGGGGUUAAUCCAUCCUCGUUCCAUAAAACAAGCUCAAUCUUGGUCAGAUUUGUAUGUGGAAUCCCCCAGUGCUAAAAUCCCGAAUUGUAACCUUUAGGGCAUUCCUUUGGGGAUUCAAGCAUAUGCUUUCGUUGUGUGGGACUAGAGAAUCUGUCAUCAUUCUGUUAUUUCAUAUGAGUGCACAUUCUGGCAUUGUGAAUUUGUGACCUCUGUAUAGUUUUUGUGUAAACAUUUCUAUCAUAGACCACCAUAAAUUUACAUGUCUGGACCCUAAAAGUAGGCUGAUUUGAAGUCUAGUUUGCUGACCAAAAUACACUAGUGUAACUUCUUUUUCUUGGAUUUCAGGUUCUUGUGGAGCCAAAAUGCUAAUUUUGCAAUCUCAAGACACUACAGGCGCUUUGAUGUGUUUGAAGAGGCUGAAGCUAACAAAGCUGCUGGAAAGUAUGACAAUGCCUCCAUUGAUUACCAGAUUGAAUUUUACAAAAGCGAAGGCUUAACACCAUAUUCUGAUGCUAAGUUUCCAAUAACUAGUGGUAUGUGAAUGAUUAUGUCAAUGUGUCUUUCUGUUUUCCAGGAUUUGUAUCUCUGAAUUUGUCUCUUAAUUUGCAGAUGUUCCAGAAGGUUGUGUUAUUAUAAGAGAACAUGUACCCAUUACAAAUCUGUUUGGAUGCCUUUGGUUCAAUGAAGUUGAUCGGUUUACUUCCAGAGAUCAGUUAAGCUUUUCAACAGUAAGGGAUAAAAUUAUGAAAAAAGUUAAAUGGAGCAUUGAUAUGUUUCUGGACUGUGAAAGGCGUAAUUUUGUGAUUCAGGUAUCUGCUAAAUUUGUCACCAAUGACUAUUUUAUGGGAUAUAUUCAUUCUAGAUAAGUUGUUUAUUUGUAGGCAUGGUGAAAUAAUUAUAGUAAUGAAACCUAAUGUUCGGAAGAUCUGUAAAAGGACUUUUGAUCUUUUGAUCUUGUAGUUUAUCAUAUUAAGUUUUGUUUGUGUUUAUUGUUGUAUCAUAUUCUCUUUGUGUUUAUGUUGACAACUUAGCAUCUUGAGCAUCAGCACUUUUUGUCUCAAAUGAUUUGAGUGCCCCAUUUAGCUGUGAAGUGUUUAAUCUGAAUGGCUCCUCUAGUGGGUGUAUGUGACAAAGCUGUCAGUUUGUUUCUAACUUUGGUUAAAACGUGUAGGUGGUUUUUUUAAUCUUUUUCUGAACAUGAGGGUAUUAUAUAUGCAUCCUGGAAAUUUUACUAGCUGUCUCCUUGUCUUUAGCAUUUAAAGCUAAAAUUCACCUGUGGAAUGCAGAUGGUGCAAGAAAUGCCAACAUGGUGCUUAAUAAUUUUUUGUUGCUCAGCACUUAAAUUUUUGACGUACAGGCUUAUCACAGAGACUUGUUAGAGCACAUGCCAUCCCCUGUUGCCUCUGUUAUUCGCGGUCGACCAUCCCUGAACCAUUACAGUUUAACUGGAAGGACUCCAGUGAAGGAUACUCGUAGGAAUAGGAGAUUUAGUGCAAGACAUCACCGCAAGUCUGUUGCUGGUACCAGGAACAAGCAAGCCAUUUCACAGGCAAGAAAAUUUUACCUUAUUUCUAAUUAUGCAACUUGAGGAAGUACGAUUUGGUUAGAGUGUUACGAAUUGUCAAAGGGUCAAGAGGGGCUCAAAAUUUUGUUUCCGAAUUGUUGAUAUCUGUUGAUUCAUUCAUACUUGUAAAGGCAUCCAAGCAAAUAAUUCUCAUACAAGCUGCAAUGGUUCCAUGACAUCUUAACUCGGAAGACAUUUCCAUUUCUUGAUGCACAUGUAUUGCCUUGGAUCUCAUUAUUGUGAGUUUCUUCAAGAGUAAUGUAAUUAGCUUUUGUCUCAAAUACUAUAGGUUGAAUAUGAUAAUCUCUCUCUUCUAUUAAUUUUCAUGAAAGGACUGAUACAGUUUACUGUUUCCACACUAGGCUUAGCCUGAUGGUAUAUUUAUAUUCCGCACAAAGCUGAAAGAUAAUUGAAUUGGCAGCAAAAUCAAACAGCUUUUCUGGUGGUGCUUUAUGGUAUUCAUCUGUGUUUGAGCAAUGAUUUCUCAUUUGUCUUUAUGAUAGAUAUAAUACUGUGGCUGUAUUAGGGAUUUUGGUUGGGAAACAGCACAAAAGGGGGUACCAUAUAAAUUUUUUCACAACACAACGUUAAAAUUAAUUAAUAAAUUUUUAAGACUCGAUGAUGUUUUAAUAUAUUUUUAAAAUUAAAAAAUUAAUUAACUAAUAAGUUUAUUAAUUAAAACAUAUAAAUUAAUUUAAUAUUUUAACUAAUAUAUUUUCAAAAUUAUUUUUAAUAGUAAUAUCAAACUUAUCGUAUUUUUUAUAUAUAUGAAAGAGAAAGCUAAAUCAUAAUGCACACACCCCUGGUGUGACCCACGAUAACUAAAUUGGUUAGCAAAUGAAGCAGGAAAAAAGAAUGGCAUUUUGUGGAUGGGUGAUGGUUCAGUUUGGAGUGUCUAUCGAUAAAUAAUAAAAUAAAUAUUUAACAUUUUUAAAUUUAAAUAAUUUUGACACCUUCAUUCCCAACGUAUCUUUUUAUUUAUUAAUGUUAGCAUUUAAAAAUUAUUAAAUUCUUGACUUCAAAAAAAAAAAAAAAUUAUUAAAUUCUAUGCAGCUACCUUUGAAUCUAUAUGAAAAGUUCUUUGUCCAAAAAUUAAAUCAGGAGGAUUAAAUUGUCAUGAUUUUAAAAAAGUGGGAAUUAAUUUGUGAGAUUGAAAUUAAUGUUAUAAUUAAAAUUUAUUAUUAUUAUUUUUGAAAUUUUUACAAUCAAGAGAAUUUGAUAAUCAAACAGUAUCUAUCUUUUGUAGUAUGCAUUGUUUAUAUAUUGGUAUUGCAUUUUUUAUUUAAAUCAAAUAUUUUAUUUAUUUAAUGUUCAAAGUAUAGUUUUAAUUUUUUAAAGAGUUAAUAUCUUCAGUAUAAUUUAUAAAAUUCUACAAAAGUAUAAUAAUUAAAUAUGAUUACUUUUAUUUUUAAAUUCAUAAUUAAAAUAUUGAUUUCAAAUAUUCAAUUUAUAAAUUUUAAUAUUUAAAAGAUAAAACACAAUACUAAUUAUUUAAUUUCUUUUUGAAUAAAAUUAUUAAAUAAUAUAUUUUAUUAUUUUUAUUUAUAAUAUACUGUAUAUACUUUUCCUCCAUUUUAUAUGUUCUCUCUCACUUUACUUUUUUUACGUCUAUUAAGAAAUAUAAUUUUUUAUUAAAUUCUAAAUUAUAUUUAUUUUAAAUAUAUUAAAUUUAUUUAAAUAUUAAAAAUAUUUUUAAAAUAAAAUAAAAUUAUAAUAAUCAUGAUUAUAAUCUAAAAAACAUUAUAUAAUAAUUUAGAAAAAAUAAAAAGUAAAUAAAAAUUAUAUAAUAUAUUUAAAAUAAAUAUAUAUUUAAUAAAAAUAUUAAAAAAUUACUAAUCGAUCUCGAUUUUAAAAAAUAUAUUAAAAUAUUUUUUAUAUUUUAAAAAAUUUAUUAAUUAAUUUUAAUCAUGAAAUAUUAUAAAAAAAUUUAAAAUAUUUCUAAGAGAAAUUAAUUAAUAAAUUUUAUAAAAAUUUAAAGAAUUAAUUGAUAAAUUUUUUAAAAUUAUAAAAAUUAAAUAGUAAAAUAUUUAAUAAUAAAAUUAAUAAAAAAUUAAUUUUUUAAAAUAUCAAAAUAUUUUAAUAUAUUUUUUAAAAUUAAAAAAUUAAUUAAUUAAUUUUCUCAUAUCAUAAAAAUUAAAUAAUAAUUUUUAAAAAAUAUUAAUUAUUAAAAAUUAAAAAAAAUUAAUAUUAAAAAAUUUAUUAAUUGAUAUCUCAAUUUAAAAAAUAUAUUAAAAUAUUUUUAAUAUUUUAAAAAUUUUAAUAAUUAAUUUUACUAAUAAUUGUUAUCGUUAAAUAUUAUAAAAAAUUAAAAUAUUUCUGUCAGUUAAUUAAUAAGUUUUUUAAAAAUUUAAAAAAUUAAUUAAUAAAUUUUUAAAAUAUUAAAAAAUAUUUUAAUAUAUAUUUUUAAAUUGAGAUCUCAUGGCACAGGGAGAAGUAAAAUUUUUACCUUGAACAAAAAACAUUUCCAAACACCACAGCUAUCCGUUUUCAUUCCUUAGUCUCUUUUAGCUAACCAAAUCGCCCAGUUCUGAUUCAUUUGUUUCAUUUUCAUUGGUCUUCAGCUCAGCAGCUGUGAUUGUGGGGUUUUGAGUCCGAAGGAUUUUUUCCAUUGAUCCUUCUCUGCAACUGGGUUUGGCUAAACUUGAGGUUAGAGCUUAAUUUAGAGCUCUCAUCGCUGGAACAGUGGGCUCUUGUUGUCGGCUAUAAAUCGAAAUUUGAAUCGUUUGUGUGGGAUUUUCGUGUUUGAUGAAUUCUAUUUUUGAUUUAAAGCUAUGUUACAGUCAUUUGCAUAGAUCUUUUUAAUGGGUUUUCGUUCUGGUUUGCUGUAAGAAUCCUGGGUCAGGAUUUUGAUCGGUGAUCUCCUUUCUCUUUGUGAUCACACAUUAGAAACAAGCAGGUUAAGGGUUUUAUCAAUUGGGUUCCUAUUUCUCUUUCAGCUAUCUUGAUCAAAUGGGCUCAUCUGGGUUUUUCCUUAUAUGCAUGCUUCAUUCUUUGAUAGCUCUAACCUGUGGAACUCUCAUGAUAUUUUACACAAACGAGGUCUCUGUGUUUGGUCAUGGCAUUGAGGUAGCUUCUAAACUAAAAGGAUCAACACCCCAUGACCAACUCUUGAUCCAAACAUCUGAUUCCUUUUCUGGGUUGCUGUUAUUUGCCAUUGGUUUCCUGUUAUUUAUGGUGGCAUUUGUCAAGGAUAGAGAAUUCCAAAGCUUUUUUGCAAAGGGUUGUGUUGUGAUUCAUGUUUCAGUUGCUUUCUGGAGAAUUUACUUUGAGUGGAAGCUUGAAGAUCUAGCUCAUGAUUUGCCAAGACAAGUUGUGGGUGAUAUUGCAUUGGCUCUUUCAUGGGUUUUCUUUCUUGUUUACUCAUGGAGAGAGAAGUAUGAUUAGCUAUAUCACAGAAUCAUUGUGUCAUUGAAAGGCCUUACUGAACUUGAUCACGAUCCUGGGGCUUCUAUUGAAUAAAUUUCAGCUGGAAUUGGUGUAGAGCUGGGUUUCACAGGAGGGAUCUUUGGUUUUCUGGUGCAGAUUGCAGAGUGAAUCUGAAGCUAAAGAACAAUUGGUGGCAACUAUGAAAUCUUGUUUAGGAGAGCUUGAAAUGCUUGAGUUCUAUGAACAGUGGAGAUGGGAUCUGCUCAUGGCUUAUUUGCUUUCAUUUGGAUACUUAAUUUGAUGUUUAGCUAAUAUCAUCAACUUCUGAACUUCCCCACUAAAUUGAUCCUGUUCGUGUACAUUUGAUGAUGACAGGAAUUGCAGAAGUUCAAAAGAAUUUUCUUUCCUCAGACUAUUAAUUAUCUGAAUCUGGGAUAAUGUAGCUCCAAUCCUAUUUGAUAUAGAAAAUCUCUUUUUAUUUGUCAUAAAAAAAUUCUAAAAUUUUCUAUUGUGACAUUUUCAAUGUGCUUUAAUGAAAUAGUUAAUCAACCAAAUCAAACAAUUUAUGCCAUGAAAGAAUAGUGUAAUUAAACUAGUAAACUCCAGAAUUGUUGAUGAUAAAUAACUUUUCCCAUUUGAUGAUUUUGCUAUAGUUUGAAUAUAUUCAAUACAUUUCACUACCCAAAAGAGAGGGAUAAUAAUAAAAUAAAAAUCAAAAUAUAAAUAAGGAUCUCACUUGCAAUAGAGGAAAGAUUUUUUUUUUUUUUAAAGGUUUUUUCUGAAAAUAAAGGCUUUCCCAUAUUUGUGAUAUUGCUGUAGUCUCUUGUUUUCAAAGUGAAAACUCCGUUGGAAAAGGCUUGGAUCAAACUGUGGGUAAUAAAUUAUGAAAUUGAAAAAGAUUUGAAUGGUAGACAACUUACCUUUGCUUUUUAAAAUAAAGUAAAAUUCGUCACAGAUUUUAAAUUUUUUUUUUUUUUUUAAAUAUCGGGGGAGAUUUUUUAAUUAACACAAUACAANNNNNNNNNNNNNNNNNNNNNNNNNNNNNNNNNNNNNNNNNNNNNNNNNNNNNNNNNNNNNNNNNNNNNNNNNNNNNNNNNNNNNNNNNNNNNNNNNNNNNNNNNNNNNNNNNNNNNNNNNNNNNNNNNNNNNNNNNNNNNNNNNNNNNNNNNNNNNNNNNNNNNNNNNNNNNNNNNNNNNNNNNNNNNNNNNNNNNNNNNNNNNNNNNNNNNNNNNUUUUUUUUUUUUUUUUUUUUUUUUUGAAAUGGAACUUUCUAUGUGUUAUUUUGAAUUUUACUACUGCCUUAUUGAAGAUUCAACUAGAGUUUAUUGAGUUUUUAGAGAUUAUUCACAAAGUCGUUCCUUUGAAAAAUCCCUUCUUUUCACUUCUUCUAUACAACCUUAUGGUUCUCAAUGAACCACGCAGACCUAUUUCUCUUAUGAUCUCUUUUUUACAUUUAUUCUUCGCUCAUAUACAUUCAAUCACCACGUAAGCCUUACCCACCUGCGCCUCUAAAUUCCUAUCCCUGUCCCUACUUCUAUUGCAGAAAGAAAAUUUCCAACGGUGAGUUCUUCCAAAUACCGAUUAUUAAUAUUAUUGUCGCUGCUAACUCGAUAUCCUGUUGUUCGAUGAAAUAGCUAAGCUGUUUGAUUUCCAAUUUCUGUUUACUUGUUCAUAGUUGUUACUUCUCCACAGCAAUUAUUAGCGUCAGUGUUGUAUGUAUGGGUCGAUUUAUUUUUUAUUUUUUGUUUUUGUUUUCUCUAGUUUCAUUAUUUUUAGUUGCACUUUUGUGGAAUAAUCUUAAAGUUCCCGUCAAAUUUGAAAAUGACAAUUAGUUGCUGUGAACAUACGAAUGAGUGUUGCAAAUUGGAAAGAUGAAGUGCAGAUUGUGAAAGAGGGAAAGGAAAAUAAGAUUUUAGAAAUACUUGACAUGCUUUCUUUGCUAUAGAUUGCUUUGGGCAUGGCUAAUUAGAUUUUGCUAGAGGUAAAUAAAAUAUUCAAAGUUUUGGGUUUACUUGUCUUAGCUCAUUCUUUGCAGAGGUAGUAACUCUUUAAGUUGGAAUGAAUUUUGUAUUUCUAAACUUGUUAGUUGUCUCCACUCUUUACUUCUGGUUGUGAAAUUAAUUGGUAAAAGGUUGAUUAAUGGUUUUUUAUUCUCUUUGUAAAUAUCAAAGCUUAGUUAUAUUGAAUCCGAAAGUAGUUUAGAAAUUCACUUAAGUUUGACUCGACAUGCUUUAUUAAUUUUGAAAGAUACAUUUUUCAGGGGUGGUUGCCCCUUGUUUUUUAACCAGUGAUCAUUAGACAUACAGAGGCACUCAGAUCAAUCUUCCAUCUGAUUUUAUCAUAUAAGUCCAUGUAUUUUAUUUUAAGAUAUGCAGGUUACUUUGGAAUCUCUUNNNNNNNNNNNNNNNNNNNNNNNNNNNNNNNNNNUUUUCCUUUUUGUUUCAUAUGGAAUUAUUGGCAGAUAAGACAAUUUGCAUUACUUUUUAUGUUGAUGUAGUUGGUUAAUGGGCCAAACAUGGCUGAAAUUUUUUGUUUUGUGAGCUGCAUUUGAUGUGUGGUUCUUGUAGAAUAAUUUUGUAAUAAGAGGUUAGCAGCUUUUUUAUUCCUAUUCUGGCCAGAGUUGAGAAUUGAGAUCUAUUCAAAUGCUCUUGUCUAGUUGAUUUAUUAGAUGUCAUACAGCAGAAAUAGUCUUUUAAGUCUAGAACACAAGGAACAGAAAAUAAAAUUGGAAUACAUUGUCAGGGAUGAUGUGUUGUCCUGUCCCGGAAAUGAAAAAGGCUUUUGUUUAUUUGCGUAUUGAUGUACGUGUGUUCAUCGUGUUGUUUGUCUAUUAUAAUUAUUUGCUUUAAAUCUUAUGUUCAUCCUUUAUUUUUCUCCAGUUCCCCUCUUUCAGUAAUAUUUUUUAGACUGUAACAAUGGGUGGGCUGCCUUUGCAAAAUGCUUCCUCUACCUUAGCUCUGCCAGGAUCAGAGCAAAAUAAGGGUUCAGCAAUGACAACAUCUGUAACAGAAUCAAAGCCAAAAAAGAAGAUAUGCUGUGCCUGCCCUGAAACCAAGAAGCUGAGAGAUGAAUGCAUUGUGGAGCAUGGUGAAACUGCUUGUGCAAAGUGGAUCGAGGCUCAUCGUCUGUGCCUUCGAGCUGAGGGUUUUAAUGUUUGAAGUUGAUUCAGAUGGUUGAGUGUUGAUAUAUUGAUAGUUUGAUACUAUUUUGGGGCAUAGGAUACUUGCUUUUGGAAUUACAUACACAAUAUUUAAGGAAUAAAACAAGAAAAGGCAGCUUUUCUUACGGAUUUUAUUUCACCUUGCUCCUUUUAAUUUUUCUUCUUAAAAAAAAAAAAACCACACUCGUGCCUUUUGUUGAAAUUAUGAGGCAGGCUUAACAAUUCAAAUAGACUCGAUUUACAUGGAUGCAACCUCAAUUUUGUGCCUUAUCCUUUUGUGGGUGAUGAUUUUCUGAUGUAUUCCUUCAUGUUAAAUAGUUAUUUUUUUGGUUGAAAGACUUGGGCCUGCGGUUUACUGGCGCAACGCAGGAAUUGCAAGUGUAGGGCUGUUGUAGUCAUCGCUUGCUAGUUAGCGAACACAAAUGAAUUGGUGUUUGGGCCCAGGGUUUCUUUUAUUUAUUUGACAACCUGGGUUUUGUGAUUGGUGAACUGUAUUUUAGUUCUUCAACCACGAUAUUUGCAGGCGAUUUUACUUUGUUUUAGGAGGAAAUUACUAUUUGGUUUAUGUAGAAUUAUAAAAUUUAUAUUAGUUUUUUAAUGAAUUUUAUUAGUUAAUUUUUAAAUUUUUAAAAAUUUAUUAAAAUAUUUUUUAUAUUUUAAAAAAUUUAUUAAUUAGUUUUAUUUUAAUCGUUAAUAUUAUAAAAAAAUUUAAAAUAUUUUUAAUAUGAAAUCAUUAAUUAAUAAAUUUUUUUAUAAAACUGAAAAAUUAAUUAAUAACUUUUUUAAAUUAUAGGAAUGGAAUAUUUUUUUUUUUGAAAUAUAAGAAUAGAAUAUUUAACCUUUAAAAUUGAUAAGUCAUAUUUUAAUAUAUUUUUUAAAAUUAAGUGAUUAAUUAAUAAAUUUUCAGAAUAAAGUAGUAAAUUUUUUUUGUCUCAUUUGCGCAGGGCUGGAGACCGUUCCUUCCUAUUUCGUGUGCAGCAUUCUGGAAAUCGUGGGUAUCGUGCUGUUUUACACUUGAUAAAUUUAGGCGUGAUUUGCUGUAUUGAUUGUUGCUUUACUGGUAGGUAGAAUAUACAUAGAGUUAGAAUAAAUUUUUGCUUUUACAGGGACUAUUUUUCAAUCUACUUCGCUUGCUGGUGCAAACCAUUUUGUUGUUUCAACUUCAAUUUGCGAAACUGGAUUAAAAACAAAGGUUAAUGGGCAUAUCAUAUAUGCCAGACGCAUGUAUGACUAGUUCCAUACUUUGAAUAGCCGACCCGACCCGACCCUAUCCAUCCUUUUGCAGCCCGGGUGGGUUACACCACAAACAAACUGUGGUCGGCCCGUGAGUAGCACUACUUGUGGCUGUUUGGAUUUAAUUAAGUUGUGUUCAGCAAAACUAGUUGUAUUAGUAGAAUAAGUGCUAUAACGGAGUGUUUUGAUACUAAUUAAAUACUCCCUUAAAAAGUUGUUGUCGAACAUGAGAAUCAGAACAGAUAGAAAACAAAACUAUUGAAAUGGAAAAGAUGAUUAAAACAGAUGUAUACUAAUAGCAAUUCAUUAAUUGAGCCACACAAGGCCAUAUUAGAUAUGGCCUGUAAACAAACACAACCAUGGAAAGAAACACAUCACUCCAUAGCCACAAGUAUUACAACAUAACACACACAUUAUUUAGCUAAAUUACGUUAUUAGCAACUCCAUCACACUAUAUGUUAAAGAGUUCAGUGACCACAAGUGCAGGUAGUGCAGGUGCAGUUAGCACCACACUUGCACUUGCCAUCGUUCUCGGCAGCAGCAGGAACCUCCAUCACAACAGUGGAGACAAAGCUGCAAGAAAAUCAAACAUUCCAUCAGUUCUGUGUAAGAUCUCAGAGUCUCGACGAAAUAUAGCAUGGAGUUUCAACUCGCAAGUCUUGAAUAAUAUAUUAUAAUCCAAGUAAAAUAUUGGAUGAAAUUGGAUACCUCUUCUCAGUCUCAACGAUGUCAGCGGUGUAGCUGCUGCCCUUCUUCCUGCAAAUAUCAAAGUGCAUAACAUCAAUAAUCAGCAUAGAAGUUGCAGACACUGAAGAAAUCUUUCAAGAAAUGCAAUAACAGGCCUCACAGAAACCAGAUUUUGAAAUAACUCACAGAUUUGAUCAGAUAGCUAACCCUAACAUAACAUCAAUUAUAAUGAAAAUUUGAUACUUACACGCACUGGCUCUUGUCAG